GACGAACGCUGGCGGCGUGCUUAACACAUGCAAGUCGAACGAUGAAGCUGGAGCUUGCUCCGGUGGAUUAGUGGCGAACGGGUGAGUAACACGUGAGCAAUCUGCCCUUGACUCUGGGAUAACUGCGGGAAACUGUAGCUAAUACCGGAUACGAGGCUCGAAGGCAUCUUCGGGUCUGAAAGAAUUUCGGUCAAGGAUGAGCUCGCGGCCUAUCAGCUUGUUGGUGAGGUAAUGGCUCACCAAGGCGACGACGGGUAGCCGGCCUGAGAGGGUGACCGGCCACACUGGGACUGAGACAAGGCCCAGACUCCUACGGGAGGCAGCAGUGGGGAAUAUUGCACAAUGGGCGAAAGCCUGAUGCAGCAACGCCGCGUGAGGGAUGAAGGCCUUCGGGUUGUAAACCUCUUUUAGCAGGGAAGAAGCGAAAGUGACGGUACCUGCAGAAAAAGCACCGGCUAACUACGUGCCAGCAGCCGCCGCAG
rnacentral:rRNA from 1 species